rnacentral:rRNA from 1 species
GAUGGACGCUGGCGGCGUGCCUAAUACAUGCAAGUCGAACGAAGAUCUAGCUUGCUAGAUCUUAGUGGCGAACGGGUGAGUAAUACAUAAAUAAUCUGCCCAUAUGACUGGGAUAACUAUUGGAAACGAUAGCUAAUACCGGAUAGGUUGAUCGGAGGCAUCUCUGAUGAAUUAAAGUAGGAUUUCUACACAAAUGGAUGAGUUUAUGGCGCAUUAGUUAGUUGGUGGGGUAACGGCCUACCAAGACGAUGAUGCGUAGCCGACCUGAGAGGGUGACCGGCCACACUGGGACUGGGACACGGCCCAGACUCCUACGGGAGGCAGCAGGAGGGAAGUGUCGGCAAUGGGCGCAAGCCUGACCGAGCAACGCCGCGUGAGUGAUUAAGGCCUUCGGGUUGUAAAGCUCUGUUGUAAGGGAAGAACAUUCAGGAUAGGAAAUGAUCUUGAACUGACGGUACCUUACCAGAAAGCCACGGCUAACUACGUGCCAGCAGCCGCCGUAA